AUGGGUCCUGGCCUUCCAGUGAAGUUCUGGCUUCAUCUCACACCGACAAGGACAGCAGGUCACAUGAGCACCAACGCUGCUGACUCUAACGGGACCAUCUGCAGCCUCGCUCCCUCUCUGUGGGUGAACCAGAUGUGUCAACUGUACAGCUCUGGCAGGGCAUGCGGCUUCUCUCCUGGGACAGUGGGACCCAGCCAAACACACAGGGUAUCCGGCCACCCCCAGUCGCUGCCCCUUCCCCUCCCCCAGGCUGCUUACCUCUUCCAGCUGGAUCUCCCGCUCAUAAACCAGCUUUCGGACCAUGCUGGCCACAGACACCAUCCACGUGAGCAUCAUUAUCAGGGGGAAGAAGAAGCCGACGUUGUUUAAGAACCUGUGGGGACGGGCCAGUCAGCAUCCAGGCUGCCCCAAGAUGCUCUCAGUGAGUUCAGCUCCCACACUUCAUCCUGCAGUCCUUACAGCCCUGGGGUUCACCCAGGAACACAACCUCAUUUGACCCUAUGACUGGGGCAGAACCACUGCUGGGUACCCUGAUUUUGAAGGAUACUAAGUGCUAAACCUCACAGAACAGAGUAAAGAGAGAGUCAUGAGGGGCCUGGAAUUGGAGGAACCAGACUCUGGGGUUCUUGGAGUCACUAUCCAAGAUCCAGAGAAGUCCAGAUGUUUUGCACAGACUUUUCAGAGUGAGGCCAUUUCAUGCAAAUUAAAGAGAAUAAAAAACUGAAGAGAAAUUACAAUACAUGGAUGUAUAACUCAACCCCUUUUCCAAUCUGCUCCUGGAAAUGAGUCCCAACCAACAAGGGAAGGAAAAACUGACACUGUGAUUCUGAUACAUAUUUGGAAGAGACGGCCAACUAUUCGAAAAAGCUGCUAAACAUAAUCAAGUUCACAUGAGAGUUACAUGAAAAAAUGUAUAUAAGAACUCAGGUUAAAUCAUCUCAAGAGAUCUUCUUCAGGAAGUUACCAGAAGACAAACCAGCCCACAAAAGAAUGACUUUUGUGCAUUCUUUUGGAUAAAGAUAAAGAAAGGAUAAAGCAAGAAGUGACUGUAUUUCCAGUAAAAAUAAGACUGAAACAAAUAUUAAAAAUAAGGUGACAAGACAGACUGGAAAUGUUUUGUUCCUGGAAAUGUAAAAAUGAGACAAAAAACAACAAUUGCAAGAUUGGGGAAAUGAGCCAGAGAGGAAGAAUAAAGUUGAUGAAAUCCAAAAUAAAAGGCUAUUAUUAGGCUAUUUGUUUGGGGCUUCCCUGGCAGUCCAGGGGUUAAGAAUCUGCUUUGCAAUGUAGGGGACAUGGGUUCCAUCCCUGGUCUGGAAAGAUCCCACAGGCUGCAGAGCAACUAAGCCCACAUGCCACAAUUACCGAGCCAGCGCUCCAGAGCCCCUGAGCUGCAGCUACUGAGGCCCAUCCAUCUAGAGCCUGUGCUCCACAAUGGGGAGCCACCACAGUGAGGAGCACGCACACCACAAAUGGAGAGAAGCCACUGCCCGAAGCAACUCGAGAAAGCCUGCACACAGCAACGAAGACCCACCAGUCAACACAUACAAAGAAAUCAAUCUUUUUUUUUAAAGGCUAUUUUUUUUAACACUGACAAAUGUAGACUACAAGGUCAGUCAUCUUCUAAUGGUACAAAGGAAGACUUUAGUGGAAGAAGAAAAAUGUUUUUUAUUGGUCAUGGUUAAAAAAAAAAGGAUUGAUAAUAUUUAUACAAAGUUACAACUACAAGGCAACCACUAGAACAGCAGAACAUGACUAAAUAUAAAUAAGAAAAAUAUAAGACACAAUUAAGACCAUAUACACAUGAAAUUCCAUUUCAUACUGUUGAACAGCUAACCUCACCUGUGUAAGAAGUUAUGUGCUGCUCACAACAGACACGCCUGAAAGAAAACACUUCAGAAAAGUUUAAGAUGACAGGAUGGGCAAAAGGCAUGGCAGCAAAUGAGAAUCCAGAGAGAGAAAAGAAAGGAGGAAAAGCAGAAACCACUAAUUUAACCAUAUACAAAGUAGAAUGACAUACUACUAAGGACAUACUAAUGAGACAUACUAAAGACAUACUACAUAAGAAAGACCCAGAACACAGUUAUUCACAGCUCUGCACAGAGCAACUCAACCUCAAGACUAGAAGGCCAAACCACAGGAAAAAUCGAGGGCACGUUCCAGAAGCAGGGACUGUGACUUCUCUCUUUAGCUCAGGACAGAUGAAGUAGACAAAACAAGGACAGAGAACUCCUAAAUAACAAAGUUAAUGCAGGUAAAUUUUCCACUACAAAAACAGGACAUUAAAAAUUCUUUUCAAGUGCCCGUAAAUCAUUCAUCAGAUUAUAUAUUAGUUGAUAGAGGAAAAUGCCAUACGUUCAAAAAAUGAAAAGGAU
ensembl:lncRNA